rnacentral:rRNA from 1 species
UCCGGGGGGGGCAAGCGUUGUUCGGAAUUACUGGGCGUAAAGGGCUCGUAGGCGGCCAACUAAGUCCGACGUGAAAUCCCAAGGCUUAACCUUGGAACUGCGUCGGAUACUGGAUGGCUUGAAUUCGGGAGAGGGAUGCAGAAUUCCAGGUGUAGCGGUGAAAUGCGUAGAUAUCUGGAGGAAUACCGGUGGCGAAGGCGGCAUCCUGGACCGACAUUGACGCUGAGGAGCGAAAGCUAGGGGAGCAAACGGG